CAGUCUCAGUCAGGACACAGCAUGGACAUGAGGGUCCCUGCUCAGCUCCUGGGGCUCCUGCUGCUCUGGCUCUCAGGUGCCAGAUGUGACAUCCAGAUGACCCAGUCUCCAUCCUCCCUGUCUGCAUCUGUAGGAGACAGAGUCACCAUCACUUGCCGGGCAAGUCAGAGCAUUAGCAACUAUUUGAGUUGGUAUCAGCAGAAACCAGGGAAAGCCCCUAAGCUCCUGAUCUAUGAUGCAUCCACUUUGCAAAGUGGGGUCCCAUCAAGGUUCAGUGGCAGUGGAUCUGGGACAGAUUUCACUCUCACCAUCAGCAGUCUGCAACCUGAAGAUUUUGCAACAUAUUACUGUCAGCGUGGUUACGGU
rnacentral:lncRNA from 1 species